GAAAUGCGAUACGUAAUGUGAAUUGCAGAAUUCAGUGAAUCAUCGAGUCUUUGAACGCACAUUGCGCCCCCUGGUAUUCCGGGGGGCAUGCCUGUCCGAGCGUCAUUGCUGCCCUCAAGCACGGCUUGUGUGUUGGGCCCCCGUCCCCCCCCCAAGGGGACGGGCCCGAAAGGCAGCGGCGGCACCGUGUCCGGUCCUCGAGCGUAUGGGAAGCAACUUUUUGUCACCCGCUCCUGUAGGUCCGGCCGGCGGCCUGCCCAACCCCAACCUUUUUUUCAACCAGGUUGACCUCGGAUCAGGUAGGGAUACCCGCUGAACUUAAG
rnacentral:misc_RNA from 1 species